ensembl:lncRNA
CUCCCCAGGCCCCGGCCCCGCCUCCUCAGGCCCCGGCCCCGCCUCGCACGGGCUCUCCUGCAGAAGCGUUGUGGGGGCGGCAGCGAGCCUGUGCACAGAGCGUACAGGAACCGGGCUUGUGGACCCAGGGCAGGUUCUGAAGUGGCUAAAGAGGAGGCAAUCAUCUGGGGGCCAGAGGGAGACCUGCCUGGACGACGGCCGGAGGGAGCGCUGCAGUACAGACCUCCGGGGGCCAGGGAGGAGCACCCCCGUGGAGGGCAGUGGGUGGCCUCAUGGUGACCAGGACAACAGGGAGGGCCGGGGGACAGCUGCUGACCAAGUGGGGCCAAUGGGGAGAGUCCAUUUCAAAUUUCCACCUGGACUCCCAGACCCUGACUCUAGCGGAGACCCUCCCCUGGCGCCAUCAGGACAAACUUGCCCCCAGGUAAAAGUCUCAGAGGGCGAAGGGGACACAUCACCACUGAUAGGACUCCUGGACACACGAUUUUGUUGCACCUCAUCCCCGCCAACACGCAGGUCUCCACGCCGCAGCCCUGGCCCAGCACGACUCUCCCCUGCCUUUCACCAUAUUCUGUGCUCAGCACGCUGAAUCUGAGACUACUUGAGGUGGCGGGUGAUUCUGAUGAUAACUGUAAAAA